GUCCACGCUGUAAACGAUUAGAACUGGCUGUGCGGUGGGGCAUACCUGCUGCGUAGCGAAGCUAACGCGUUAAGUUCUCCGCCUGGGGAGUACGGUCGCAAGAUUAAAACUCAAAGGAAUUGACGGGGGCCCGCACAAGCGGUGGAGCAUGUGGUUUAAUUCGAUGCAACGCGAAAACCUUACCUACCCUUGACAUCUAGCUAAUCUCGCUUAGGGGCGAGAGUGCCGAAAGGAGCGCUAAGACAGGUGCUGCAUGGCUGUCGU
rnacentral:rRNA from 1 species